CGCCUGUUUUAUUAAAAACAUGUCUUUUUGAUUAUAAUUUAAGGUUUAAUCUGCUCAAUGAUUAUUUAAAUUGCCGCAGUAUUUUGACUGUGCAAAGGUAGCAUAAUAAUUAGUUUCUUUAUUGGGAACUGGAAUGAAUGAUUGGACGAGAAAAUUUCUGUCUCUUUAUUAUUUUAAUUGAAUUUUACUUUUAAGUUAAAAGGCUUAAAUUUUAUUAGAGGACGAGAAGACCCUAUAGAGUUUAAUUUUUAUUUAAAUAAUUAUUUUUAGUAUUUAUAUAUAUAUAUUAUUUAAAUAAAAAUUUAGUUGGGGUGACUAAAAGAUAAGAAUAACUCUUUUAAUUUUUAUCAAUUAUUUUUGAUUAUAAAAUCUUUAUUUUUAAUUUUAAAAUAAAUUACCUUAGGGAUAACAGCGUAAUUCUUUUUUAAAGUUCUUAUUAAAAGAAGAGUUUGCGACCUCGAUGUUGGAUUAAAAUUAAUUUUAGGUGUAGAAGCUUGAAAAUUAAGUCUGUUCGACUUUUAAAAUUUUACAUGAUCUGAGUUUAAACCGGUGUGAGCCAGGUUGGUUUCUAUCCUUAAUUAUAUAUUAUACUUUA
rnacentral:rRNA from 1 species